UCUUUCUUUGCUGGCGACCGGCGCACGGGUGAGUAACACGUAUCCAACCUGCCCUUUACUCGGGGAUAGCCUUUCGAAAGAAAGAUUAAUACCCGAUAGCAUAAUGAUUCCGCAUGGUUUCAUUAUUAAAGGAUUCCGGUAAAGGAUGGGGAUGCGUUCCAUUAGGUUGUUGGUGGGGUAACGGCCCACCAAGCCUUCGAUGGAUAGGGGUUCUGAGAGGAAGGUCCCCCACAUUGGAACUGAGACACGGUCCAA
rnacentral:rRNA from 1 species